GAUGAACGCUGGCGGCGUGCCUAAUACAUGCAAGUCGAGCGAACAGAUGAGGAGCUUGCUCCUCUGACGUUAGCGGCGGACGGGUGAGUAACACGUGGAUAACCUACCUAUAAGACUGGGAUAACUUCGGGAAACCGGAGCUAAUACCGGAUAAUAUAUUGAACCGCAUGGUUCAAUAGUGAAAGACGGUUUUGCUGUCACUUAUAGAUGGAUCCGCGCCGCAUUAGCUAGUUGGUAAGGUAACGGCUUAUCAAGGCAACGAUGCGUAGCCGACCUGAGAGGGUGAUCGGCCACACUGGAACGGAGACACGGUCCAGACUCCUGCGGGAGGCAGCAGAAGGGAAUCGUCCGCAAUGGGCGAAAGCCUGACGGAGCAACGCCGCGUGAGUGAUGAAGGUCUUCGGAUCGUAAAACUCUGUUAUGAGGGAAGAACAAAUGUGUAAGUAACUAUGCACGUCUUGACGGUACCUAAUCAGAAAGCCACGGCUAACUACGUG
rnacentral:rRNA from 1 species